CCUACGGGAGGCAGCAGUGGGGAAUAUUGCACAAUGGGGGGAACCCUGAUGCAGCGACGCCGCGGGAGUGAAGAAGGAGUUCGGUAUGUAAAGCUCUAUCAGCAGGGAAGAAAAUGACGGUACCUGACUAAGAAGCCCCGGCUAACUACGUGCCAGCAGCCGCGGUAAGACGGAGGGGGCAAGCGUUAUCCGGAUUUACUGGGUGUAAAGGGAGCGCAGACGGCUGUGCAAGUCUGAUGUGAAAGGUCGGGGCCCCACCCCGGGACUGCCUUUGAAACUGUUGAACUGGAGUACAGGAGCGGUAAGCGUACUUCCUAUUGUAGCGGUGCACUGCGUAGAUCUUCGG
rnacentral:rRNA from 1 species